rnacentral:rRNA from 1 species
GACGAACGCUGGCGGCGUGCUUAACACAUGCAAGUCGAACGGAAAGGCCCUGAUCUUGCGGGGUGCACGAGUGGCGAACGGGUGAGUAACACGUGAGUAACAUGUCCCUGACUUUGGGAUAACUCUAGGAAACUGGGGCUAUUAUCGGAUAUGAGCUCCUGCUGCACGGUGGGGGUUGGAAAGUUUCGGCGGUUGGGGAUGGACUCGCGGCUUAUCAGCUUGUUGGUGGGGUAGUUGCUUACCAAGGCUUUGACGGAUAGCCGGCAUGAGAGGGGGGACGGGCACAUGGGGACUAAGGGACGGCGCAGUCUGGUACGGGAGGCAGCGGGGGGGAGUAUUGCGCAGUGGGCGGGAGCCUGAGGCGACGGCGCCGGGUGCGGGAUGACGGCCUUCGGGUGAUGAACCGCUGUCUCCUGUGACGAGGCGUGAGUGACGGUAAUGGGUAAAGAAGCACCGGCUAACUACGUG